rnacentral:rRNA from 1 species
UAAGGAAUAUUGCGCAAUGGGCGAAAGCCUGACGCAGCGACGCCGCGUGGGGGAUGAAGGUCUUCGGAUUGUAAACCCCUUUCGGGAGGGAAGAUGGAAUGGGUAACCAUUCGGACGGUACCUCCAGAAGCAGCCACGGCUAACUUCGUGCCAGCAGCCGCGGUAAUACGAAGGUGGCAAGCGUUGUUCGGAUUCACUGGGCGUACAGGGAGCGUAGGCGGUUGGGUAAGCCCUCCGUGAAAUCUCCGGGCCUAACCCGGAAAGUGCAGAGGGGACUGCUCGGCUAGAGGACGGGAGAGGAGCGCGGAAUUCCCGGUGUAGCGGUGAAAUGCGUAGAGAUCGGGAGGAAGGCCGGUGGCGAAGGCGGCGCUCUGGAACGUUUCUGACGCUGAGGCUCGAAAGCGUGGGGAGCAAACAGGAUUAGAUACCCCCGUAGUCC